GCCGGGGUGGCCGAGCGGCCCAAGGCGGCGGGCUUGAGACCCGUUGCCCCGCGAGGGGCGCGCGGGUUCGAAUCCCGCCCCCGGCGCCA
rnacentral:tRNA from 3 species